AUGUGGUUAGGAGACUCAACAUUGAUGAGAAGAGGUGAACUGAACAUGGUUAGGAGACUCAACAUUGAUGAGAAGAGGUCAUCUGAACAUGGUUGGAGACUCAACAUUAAUGCCAUAGUCACUGAGGAUAAUAAAUCAAUAUUAGACUUCACUGCAAACGUUUAGAAGAAUUGAUACUAAUAUGACUCUUGCCUGAUUUAAUUCAAAUCAAUUAUUCAGCUCCAUUCCUGAUGGCAAUUCUGUUGAUGAGGAAUUCAAUAAUGUUUGCUGCGAAGAUUUGACCACAAAGGAGAUCAGAUUUGAAUCAUACAGUUAAAAAAUACCACAUCCCGGUACUGAUGGCAAACCUCUAAUUCUUACUUGCCACAUUUAAGAAAGCCAUCGAAAAAACGAGAGCUUCCAGCGUCAUUAAAAUAAGGUGUUAUAACUCUAUCCCCUAAAACACAUGAGGAUACAUUCUUUCUGAUACUUGAAGCCCAAUACACUCAAAAACAAAGAUAAUAUACUAGCUUCCAUUCUAGCAAAAUGCAAGAUAUCUGGAUUUUUUGAAAGAGCGUCAAACUUAUGGGAAUAUAACGAUUAAUUAGAUGACAACCUGUAAUUCUAUUAUUGGAUUUCAAAAAUGCAUUUGAUACUGUUAGUCAUCAUGAGUACAUUUUUAAACAUUGGGACGCAGGCCAUUUUAAACAAAGACCAGACAUACGCUCUACAGUGAACUCUUAAAGACCAGAUAACGUUCUACAGUGAAUUUUAGACCACACAUACGCUCUACAGUGAAACUCUAAAAGACCACACAUACGCUCUACAGUGAACUCUAAAAAGACCACACAUACGUCUACAGUGAACUCUAAAAGACCACACAUACGCUCUACAGUGACCUCUAAAAGACCACACAUACGCUCUACAGAGAACUCUUAAAGACCACACAUACGCUCUACAGUGAACUCUAAAAGACCACACAUUACGCUCUACAGUGAACUCUAAAAGACCACACAUACGCUCUACAGUGACCUCUAAAAGACCACACAUACGCUCUACAGUGAACUCUAAAAGACCACACAUACGCUCUACAGUGAACUCAAAAGACCA
rnacentral:lncRNA from 1 species